AACUCGGUAGUUUAGCGGUUAAAAGCAGUGGAGCGUAAACCUGGGUUCGAAUCCCAGUUGAGUUC